rnacentral:rRNA from 1 species
UAUAGGGGUUUGAUCAUGGCUCAGAUUGAACGCUGGCGGCAUGCCUUACACAUGCAAGUCGAACGGCAGCACGGGAGCAAUCCUGGUGGCGAGUGGCGAACGGGUGAGUAAUACAUCGGAACGUGUCCUGUAGUGGGGGAUAGCCCGGCGAAAGCCGGAUUAAUACCGCAUACGAUCUGCGGAUGAAAGCGGGGGAUCUUCGGACCUCGCGCUGCAGGGGCGGCCGAUGGCAGAUUAGCUAGUUGGUGGGGUAAAGGCCUACCAAGGCGACGAUCUGUAGCUGGUCUGAGAGGACGACCAGCCACACUGGGACUGAGACACGGCCCAGACUCCUACGGGAGGCAGCAGUGGGGAAUUUUGGACAAUGGGGGCAACCCUGAUCCAGCAAUGCCGCGUGUGUGAAGAAGGCCUUCGGGUUGUAAAGCACUUUUGUCCGGAAAGAAAACUUCGCCGUUAAUACCGGUGGAGGAUGACGGUACCGGAAGAAUAAGCACCGGCUAACUACGUGCCAGCAGCCGCGGUAAUACGUAGGGUGCGAGCGUUAAUCGGAAUUACUGGGCGUAAAGCGUGCGCAGGCGGUCUGUUAAGACCGAUGUGAAAUCCCCGGGCUUAACCUGGGAACUGCAUUGGUGACUGGCAGGCUUUGAGUGUGGCAGAGGGGGGUAGAAUUCCACGUGUAGCAGUGAAAUGCGUAGAGAUGUGGAGGAAUACCGAUGGCGAAGGCAGCCCCCUGGGCCAACACUGACGCUCAUGCACGAAAGCGUGGGGAGCAAACAG